rnacentral:misc_RNA from 1 species
AUGAAGAACGUAGCGAAAUGCGAUAAGUAAUGCGAAUUGCAGAAUUCAGUGAGUCAUCGAAUCUUUGAACGCACAUUGCGCCCUGUGGUAUUCCGCAGGGCAUGCCUGUUCGAGCGUCAUUUCAACCCUCAAGCUCUGCUUGGUGUUGGGCCCUGCCCGCUGCGGCCGGCCCUAAAGACAGUGGCGGUGCCGCCUGGCCCUGAGCGUAGUACAUCUCUCGCUCCAGUGCCCGGUGGUAGCCUGCCAGAACCCCAACUCUCGUGGUUGACCUCGGAUCAGGUAGGGAUACCCGCUGAACUUAAGCAUAUCAAUAAGCGGAGGA